CCUCUUGUGUUCAGCACCUGGAUUGUGCUCAGGAUGGCAAGAGAACAAAGCAAUCUGCUUGCUGUACUUGGGAUAGAGAAGACCUGCACGAGAAAGCCAGAUAUUCAAGAUGGUGUGAUUUCUAUCACAAGCUCUGAAGACCAGAGUUGGAGGCAUGCCUCAGACAUUGCAUCAAGAGGACCUAGAAGUCAUCGAACUCCAUGGGAUUCACUGGUAGAAUACCAACUUGAAGAGGCAGAAACAAAAAAAAACAGAAUAAACUCUUGGACAGAAUUGGUCCCUCGGGUUCACUAGGGACCAAUUGACAUAAGCCAAUGACAUAAGGCUGGGAAACGUUGGAAGAAAAAAGAAAAAAAUCACAUUUUAGCAGGCUUGAAUUCAGAGAUGUAAAAAAUAUUUUAAAAAGACAUUUGAAAACAUUUGAUAAACCAAGUUGGCAAAGUAAGAUAGAUGGUCGUCAUCAUCUUCCAAAGUCCUUGUGUCUGUGUCAUUUGUUCACAUAUCUAAUUACUAGCCAGAAACCUUUAUUUUCCUGAAUAUUGAACUUCUAAUAGCAAUUUAUAUUCAGUCACCAAGUUUUCGUUUUUUAGUGAGAUCUUUAGUAAAACAUAUGGUAUUUGAAAAGCACAUAGAAAAGGGCACAUCUAACACUGCAUGUGUAUAUAUUAGUGUGUGUAUAUAUUUAUAUUUGUAUAUGUUUGUGUGUGUGCUGUAGGAAUGCACAUAUAUUUAAGACAUUAAUGCCAAUACCAGUGUAGAUACAGAACAAAAAUUUCUGGAUUUUUUUUUUAAAUUCUCAGUUUUCUUUAACCUUUUUUCCCCACAGGCAAUAUAUUAUUGUAAUAAUUAAAAUAAUGUGGAUUCCUGGUUAGGACUCCCCAGCUCCCAAACACCAAAGUUUCUUGUGAAUACUUCCAGCCAUUAUUUGUUUAACCCAAUCACUGCUUCUACUAUUGAAGGAGACAUCUAAAUUUGUAAGCAAAUAAACCAUCGAAGUAACUCCUAAACACAUAUUUUUGUAUUUGGCUGAACACAAUCAUAAAAUUUCAUUUGUAGUCUUCUUUUCAAAGGACAGAAUCUUCAUCCUCGAUAUUCUAACCCCAGUUUAAAGAAGAAAAUUAAAUUAUAUGAAUAUUUAGAGAAAAUUUUAUACUUGCAGAGUCCCUGAUGUUAGCAAUUCUCUGAAAAUUUGGCUUUUACUUUGCCUGCUUUUUACAUGGGUAGUAUACAAUUUUUCAUAGUUUUCUUCUUUCCUCAGGUCCAGGGACACCUUCCUUCCUAAGCUGGGUUGGCGAGGGGUAAUCCUAAAGCAAUCAUUAGGAGAGUCAGUGUUCUACAAAUAAGUAAGGAUAUAGAAUAUUUUUGUUGCUUGAUUUUAUAAAUUUUAUGAGUCAAGUUCAAAUCUCUAAAGUGGAUACAUAUAUCUUUUCUAAUAUGAUGUUGUUCAAUUUCACAGUAAUUGACAACACCAUUUCUUUGUGGUUAAUCCUUUAUGUUAAAUCACCACCUUCCACAAGGCAAUAGGUCUCUAUGGCAACCCACAAGCUCCCACUGUGAGAACUGUAUCUCACCCAGUAUGGCCAGAGGAUCAUUUCGUUCCACUUGGCUUCAGAAAAUUUUCUCAUACAAUUUCCUUGACCCCUUCAUCGAUGAAGAUCCUCCACUCACACCGACCCUCUCACCCGUGGGCCCUUGCUGGGACUUAACACUUUUUUUUUUUUCUAUAAAGAGAUAAGGAAAAACAUCACUCAGUCUCAGCGCCAUUUCAAAGUGUUUUUCUAACUCUAUUUUUGUUUCCAGAUUUGCAUUCUAUGUUCUUCUAUUAUUUAUGCUAGGUCAAAUGGAUUGAAUUUAGUUACUUUCUCAUAGAUUACUCUUUCCGGGGUGGAGUUUUAGGAUGCUUCUAUCCUUUUCGUGUUGCCUGGUUGUUAAUUCUCAGAAGUGACUACUGGACUCAACUAUUCGUAUAGCUGGUGAUAAUUAAGAUAGAAAGGUGUAUAAAUAGAGUCCAGAGCAGAAAUCAUCUCACCCAGUUCCUAAGUCCACAUUUAUCAUGGUGAUGCCCUCAAGACUGCAGCUUCCGUGAUGUUUACAUAAGACUCCUGUUAUUCAAUUGCAUAUUAAUGGUUCAGCAAAUGUCGUGGAUCAUUUUAAAAUUGCUUGCUACGUAAUUUCUUAGUAGAGCAUUUCCUUGAAUUAAAUCUAUUGUAUCUGGAGCAAAAUGUAAUUUUUCCUACUCCCUAUGUUGGGGUUAGCAGUUGCCUGCACAAUGCCAAUUUCAACAUACAAACUCAUGCUCUUAUAAUAAUGUUAGUAUAGAACUAACAAAUUCUAUAAUGAUUUGCCUAUUGGCUUAAGGGGUGCCAGAAACUAUUUUAAAGUUUGUAGGUUGCCUAAGAAUACCCUAAAGAUGCUGCAUCCUUAUGGGAGUGUGGGGAUAUUUUUAAGGAGUUAAUAUGCAUAAGAGCUAAGAACUCCUGAAACAUAAUGGGAACUCAAGAGAUAUUAACUACUACUAUUAUUAUUAUUGUUACAGCUAUAUCAGAUUCUCUGAUUGGUGCCAAAGGUGGUGGUUAAUUUUCAUCAUCCUUUCGUGUAGCUGUUCAUUUUUAUUUUUGGUAUGCAAAUACUGAAACAUAUUUCUCAACAGGAGCCAAAACCCAUCAAGCAUACACAGACUUAGACUCAAAUUUGCACUCUAUCCCUUUGUCAGAACUGGCUGUAUGAGAAUACAUUAAAAUCCUGGAGAAUAACAUAAUAGUAUGGAUAAAUCAUUAAUUAUUAAACAAUAUUUCUGUGUGGAAAGGUACAUAGGAAAAGGAGAGAAAAAAAUUAAAUGUCACUUUGUAUUCAGUGAGCUUAAGGACUCGCUCCUACUCUGAAUUUCCUUAUGCAUUAGACAGAAAAACAGAGAUUAAAUAUUCACUGAAUUGAAGACAAAUAUUAGAGCUGCCAAAUGAAAUUUCAUGGCAUAUUUGUGAAUACGUUUAAGUUAGUAAGCCUUGAUUCAGAAAUAUUUUGUGGGUAUGCUAUAAGAAGACUUUGAGGAUCAGAAGCUCAAAAUUUACUUCAAAAAUUUAGGUAACUGAAAUUGGACAUCUAUUAAUCCCCUAAUAAUGUGUCAGACAUCAUAUAUAUAUAUGUAGAUACAUAUGAUAUAUACAUAAUAUUUGUUACAGAAAAUUACAUGUACACAAAUAAAGGGCACCGUCACCUAAUUUCCUUUCUUGAAGGCUUUAAAAAGUUUUAUAUUUAUGAGGCAAAAUCCCAGAAAUGUUACAUAACAAGUCCUGGACAAGCUCUCAGCUGUUUACAGCAGUAAGCACUGCUAUAAAUGACAUCUCUAAAGCAAUUCUGAAUCCUGUGGCUCAAAGGGCAGAGAGCCCUGGAACAUUUUCCAGACUUGAAGCUGGGUAUUGCUUCACAAGGUAUGCCUUCCUAAUGAGAGUGUUCAACCUAAGCUUUUAUGAAAAUUGUUCCAAUUAAUAGUCUCAUAUGAUGGAUAUGGGAUUGUGGUUAUGAAUUUCCAUUUCAGUUCACUUUGUGCAAGAGCAAUCAUCCUUAAAGGCUCAUAAUUUCUUUUAAUUGGAUAUUUCAUUACCAGGCAAGGGUACAGAGAGCAAAACUAAUUUUCCUUGCCUUUUAUUUAGCCCACUUUAU
rnacentral:lncRNA from 1 species